rnacentral:rRNA from 1 species
GCCAGACUCCUACGGGAGGCAGCAGUGAGGAAUAUUGGUCAAUGGGCUUACGCCUGAACCAGCCAAGUCGCGUGAGGGAAGACUGCCCUAUGGGUUGUAAACCUCUUUUGUCAGGGAGCAACGCCGGCUACGUGUAGCCGGACUGAGAGUACCUGAAGAAAAAGCAUCGGCUAACUCCGUGCCAGCAGCCGCGGUAAUACGGAGGAUGCGAGCGUUAUCCGGAUUUAUUGGGUUUAAAGGGUGCGUAGGCGGAAUGCCAAGUCAGCGGUAAAAUCGCGGGGCUCAACCCCGGCGAGCCGUUGAAACUGGCUGUCUUGAGAUGUCGAGAGGUAUGCGGAAUGCGCAGUGUAGCGGUGAAAUGCUUAGAUAUUGCGCAGAACUCCGACUGCGAAGGCAGCAUACCGGCGCUCAACUGACGCUCAUGCACGAAAGCGUGGGUAUCGAACAGGAUUAGAUACCCGUGUA